CCUUUUGAAAAUGUUCAGCUUCUGCAGCAAUCUAAUAGUUACUUUUCAGAUAUUUCCGUGACUUAACCAGUAAUGAAAUGAUUUUCCCCCAUUUUCCCAUCUGAAUAGCUCUGCUGAGGUCCACCAAACCACACAGGGCUGAGUGGUCACUGCAAGGAGUUUCGCUGCUUACAAAAUAUAGUUUUUCAGGUUGGUUAACUUCUCUUCCCUGGAGCCUAAAAUGUGAGGCUUUAGAAAUAUGCUCAUUUGAGCCUGCUGGCUGGUUGGGCUUUUGGAUGAAUGAAUUGGGGCUCAAGGUGGCUGCUACUGAGGAGUAACAACUGUCAUGUAUUGAAUACCUGAUUACCCUGUGGGGGCAACUGGAAAAGUGCUUCCACACAUUAUUUCAUUUAAGCUCCCUAAACAACAGCUAGUAUUAAUCGAGGGCUCACUGUGGGCUAGGUUACGCUAAGUGAUUUCAUGGCAUUUUUAUUUGAUAUUCAUAUUAUCUUAUGAGGUGCAGUUACUUGUUUAGGAUGUAAGUGACAGUACUCAACUCAAUUCCUUUGAUGCCCACACUCAUUUUAUUGGUUGAUGCAAUGAAAAACAAGUCCUUGGGUUAGAUCUUAAUGACUUUAGAUUUGGCUGGAUCCAGGUGCUCAGAUGAUAAGAUCAGGACUCCCUUUCUUUCUUUCUCUUCAUACUACUUAGCCUUCCUUUAUAUUGUCUUUGUUCUCAGUAGGAACUCCCUAUGAGGUGACCAAGAUGGUCAUCAGUAGCUCCAGCUUCCAUUCUACCAGCUUAGAAACCCAAGUAGAAAGAAAGUGCUUUUUGCCCAGUGGCUCCAGCGUUUGCUCUCAGUGGAUACAUUGGGUCUCGUGUUCAUACCUGGACCCAGAAGGAGGACAAGGCUGCUUGGCCAGAGCCAGGUCAUGUGUGUUCCCCAGGUGCUUCAGGGGAGGAGCAAGGUCCACUCCAUCCACAGCACAUGGACUGAGAGUGGGAGGAGAUGAUGCUCCCAAGGAAAAUUGAGGCCACUUAACCCAAAGACGACAAAUGUUAGGCAUCUAGCAUUGUCCUGUUAUAGGGUCCAUUUCAUAGAGGCUGAGGGUCAGAGGAUUUAUGUAAUUUGCUCCAAGAUCUCACCACUGGAAAAUGCCAGAGCUGGGAUUUGAACCCUCAUCUGCUGUAUCCUAAAGCACAUCUCCUUUUCAUUAUUUGGCUUAUUUUUUGGACUUUCCAAAGAUAUUACAAUCCCUGCCUCAGAAGCACCUACUGUGUCUUUCUGCUGGCUUGGGUUCCUAUAAGUCAACUGUGAGCAACUGGAGCCAAUGAUCAAACAAAAAAUUAGCCAGUAACACAGGCAGGGUAUUAGAAAAGAGCUCUGAAGGAUGUACUACUAAUCCAGUUCCUGUACAUGGGGAGUGGAGCUCGAAGAACAAUGUCAUGGCAGAUAGGCACACAGCCAGUGUUUCUCAGGAGGCAGGGAAGUCACCAAUGGCUACUUCCUCCUGAACACUACUUCCUGGGGCCUGGGACCCUUUCCCCUUUGGUACAGGAAGCCCCAGAAGCCACAACCUGAGAGUUUUGAGGUGAUGCCUCCUGCUGCUGUUCAGGAAGGGAUGUGAUGAUGUGGCUUCUGCUGCUUCCCCUACUGAGGGAGGGGCAUGAACUUGCCACCCUGAUAUGUCAGUAGAAAGCCUUCUGCUGGGCAGUGUUCUCAGGGUGCAUAGUAAAGAUGGGCAUGUGGGUUUAGUCUGUUCUGGCACUAGCAGCUCCCCUGCAGUUACAUCAAGGCAAUUGCUCCAGACACUGAGAAUGAAAGCCUUUCAUGUGCUCCCUGGCUACUUGCCCACAACCCUGGAGUCUUGUAUCUGCAAGUGCUGGAUGGAAACCUCUGGUUGCACCUGGGAUGAUUUCAGAUGGGACAUACAUGGGUAUAGCAUUAAAUAACAGGGAUCACGUGGUGGGAAACAUAUUCUCUUCUCAAUUCUCCAUCACUCCUUCUGAUAAGAAUCUCCCUGAGACUUUGUCCUUGAUGUACACAACUCCCAGCACCAGACCAACUUUCAUUUUCUUUCUGACACUAGCAGGAUGAGCCAGCUCCAAAUGCUUGGAGCCUGUGAGAGGCAGGAGCAUCCAACUGGAAUUCCAUGGCAUUGAAUUGGAUUUUAUUGUAUUUCUCUUUAUGGCUUCCUUCUAUUAUGGAAGGUGGUGCUAGUUUUCUCCUUAUAGAAAGGAGGUAAAUUUUGUGUGUAAAAUACAUUUAUUUUAGUAAAAUUAGGUGAGUGGAUUGAAGGCAAACUUUCUAAUGAUACAUAUCUGUCAGAGUUCUACCAGAAAAAACAGAGGCAUAGGAGAUAUAUAGGAAGAGAUCUAUUGUGAGGAAUUGGCUCGUUUGGUUGGGGGGUGGUCUGGCUAGGCAACUCCAAAAUCCACAUUGCAGGCUUUCUGGAAGGGCAGUCUGGAACUCUGAAGCAUGGGCUGACUCUUGAGUCUGCAGGUGGAAUUUCUUCUUCAUCAAGGAAGCCUCAGUUUGGCUCUUAAGGCUUUUAAGGCUGAUUGAAUCAGACUCACCCAGAUUACCUAGGAUAAUCUCUUACUUAAACUCAACUCAUUAUGGGCCUUAAUCGCAUCUACAAAAUACCUUCACAGCAACACCUAGGUUGGUAUUUGUUGGAAUAACUGGGAACUGUAGAUAGCUAAGCCGACCUGUAAACCAUCUCAUUAUAUAACAGCAAGUGAUACAGAGUCUGGUCCAGGCUGUGAAGGAGAUCAGUAAAUGAUGAGCAGUUGGCAAACCUAAGCCUAGCAGGUAGGGGGAAUGGCUAAGAUGUUAGAGUCCGGGUGAAGGAGCCGGGAGUUUGACGUCUGCCUGGGAGUGAGGCUUUUUAUGUUGGGUAAAGAAGGCAGUAGGGGGUGGGACGUGAAGUGGCAGGGAGCAGAACACAGCAUCCUGCCUUUUCUGCCUCCUCUUCUUAGGUACCUUUUCCAAGGGGCCAGCUUUUGCUUGCUUCUACUGCCCUGAUUUUAUCACUGGUAUCUGUUCUACUUAAUAGGGAUAAGUUUAUUCUUAGUCUCUGAAAAAGGUGGAUGCCAAUCAUUUAACCACACAGUGACUGCAGUGCUCACAACCCCACCCUAUCUCCCAUGGCACCCCUUUUACUGAAGACUUAGAUGUCAGAAUUAUUGAUAGACUUCAUUUUUGCAACUCUGCAGUCACCUCAUCCAAUGAUAAUGGUCACCGAAUUGGAAAUGGAAUUACAUAAUUAUUAAUCAUCAAAUGGUUUUUUUCUCCAGAUUGAAGAAACAACUAGGACGGUCCAGAGGGAACUUUUUCUGUGAAGGCAAUUAGAAAGAGAUAUAGAAAUUGUGCUAAGAUGAGAAGAUUGACCUUAUGCAAGUCUCCUGGGGACAGGAGGAGGAGGGGAGAGGAGUCGAUUUUACUUUUUAAAGACUAGGAUUUUCUGUUUCCUAUGGAGACCUUAAUUAAUUUUCUGGACGGUGAGCUGUGUCUUUGUGAAACACAGAGAGCUGAUCAGAUUUCCGGGGCCUGACCUUGGAGUCAUGGUGGUAAGCCAACAUUGCUGCUGACAUCUGAGAUUGACGUGCUGACAGGUGAAGUGUGGCCUGGAAAUCUCUUUUCCAUGACUGCCAACUGUACCGUUGUUUGUCAGGGUAAUUGCUUUGUGCCAGGCCUCUUCCCGAGCUUUGGAAGCAGGAGUUCCUGCUGGUAGACCAGUUGAAGGGUUGGAUCACUUCCUAGUGCUAGUGAGGGGGGAUGGGGGAUGGGUAGGUUUGGGUGCCUCUUUAUUAUCACUGGUAUCUGGGAGGCAAAUACUUUGCUGAGGGUCUCUAGGGGUAAAUUGUCAUAAGUCCAUUGAUAUGAGAAAAGUACAUUUUAACUCUGUUUUUGCGGUCUGAAAUUUUCAAGUUUGCAGAUAACAUCAAGCCAGAUAAAUAGGUCUCAUUUCAAGGGCCAGCCUUAACAGAGUGGUAGGGGUUGCCUGGAGGGCAGAGAGGAUUCCAAGCCUUCCCUGAGUGGAAAGGGGAAAGGAUGAUGCAGCUCUUACUAAAGUCCGUCACGGUUAGCGUGCGUGUGGGUAAGAAAGUGGCAGAGGAAUGAAAAGCCAAGCUGAUAGUGAUGAAACUAUAGAAUGUAAAGGUGAAUACGACGACCAGUGGAGAAUUUCUCUGCUCUGUUUCCUCAGUUAGAUUGCAAACUACCUGAGGGCAGAGUUUGGGACUUGUCCAUUCAUAAGACAGUGACUUUGUCAUGUCUGCUCCCCUCAGAGCUCUGAUCCUGCCAAGGAUAUUCAGCUGUGGUGAUGAAUAAUGCUGAUUUUUCUGAAAGACGGGGAGGUAGGCUCGUGGCUCACCUUGGAGCAGCCCUCCACCUGAGUCUCCUUUGGAUUAUUUGGGAUUUGCAUUUGGCUGCAUGGGAUGCUAGCUUGACUUCGUGGCUUAACCCCAGGUGGAUUUAUUUUUUCUCACAUAACGAGAAUUCUGGAGGUGGAAUUGCCACGGGCAGCAGCUCUGCCAUGGUGUCAGUUUUCCAGGUGUGACCUAUCUUUGCACUCCACCAUCUCUAGCAUGUGGUUUUCAUUCCCCUGCUCGUUGUCACGUGGUGGCAAGAUGACUGCUUUCCCUGUUGGCUUCAGAUCCAUGGUCCAGGUAGGAAGGAGAAGAGGGGAGGGCAUCAGACACUUGCUAGUCUCUUUUUAUCAGGAACAUCCAGCAGAAUUCUCUUUCCGUGUGUUUAUAUCUCACUGGCCAGAAUUGGGUCACAUGGCUGCUUCCAGAUGCAAGGGGAUCUAGCAGGGUAAUUGCUUUGUGCCAGGCCUCUUCCCAAGCUUUGGAAGCAGGAGUUCCUGCUGGUAGACCAGUUGAAGGGUUGGAUCGCUUUCCAGUGCUAGUGAGGGGGGAUGGGUGGAUUUGGAUGCCUCUUUACUAUCACUGGUAUCUGGGAGGCAAAUUUUCUGAGGGUCUCUAGGGGUAAAUUGUCAUAAGUCUGUUGAGAUGGGAAAAGGUAUAUUUUAACUCUUUUGUGGUCUGAAAUCUUCAAGUUUGCAGAUAACAUCAAGCCAGAUAAAUAGGUCUCAUUUCAAGGGCCAACCUUAACAGAGUGGUAGGCGUUGCCUGGAGGGCAGGGAGGAUUCCAAGCCUUCCCUGGGUGAAAAGGGGAAAGGAUGAUGCAGCUCUUAUUGAAGUCUGUCACGGUUAGUGUGCAUGUGGGUAAGACAGUGGCAGAGGAAUGAAAAGCCAAGCUGAUAGUGAUGAAACUAUAGAAUGUAGAAGUGAAUACUAAGACCAGCGGAUAAUUUCUCUGCUCGGUUUCCUUAAUUAGAUUGCAAACUACCUGAGGGCAGAGUUUGGGACUUGUCCAUUGGUAAGACAGAGUGACUUUGUCAUGCCCGCUCCCCUCAGAGCUCUGAUCCUGCCAAGGAUAUUCAGCUGCAGUGAUGAAUAAUGCUGAUUUUCUGAAAGAUGGGGAGGUAGGCCCGUGGCUCACCUGGGAGCAGCCCUCCACCUGAGUCUCCUUUGGAUUAUUUAGGAUUUGCAUUUGGCUGCAUGGGAUGCUAGCUUGACGUCAUGGCUUAACCCCAGGUGGGUUUAUUUUUCUCACAUAACAAGAAUUCUGGAGGUGGGAUUGCCACGGGCAGCAGCUCUGCCAUGGUGUCAGUUUUCCAGGUGUGACCUAUCUUUGCACUCCACCAUCUCUAGCAUGUGGUUUUCAUUCCCCUGCUUGUUAUCUCAUGGUAGCAAGAUGACUGUUUUCCCUGUUGGCCUCAGAUCCAUGGUGCAGCCUGUAUAUUUUGACUGAAGAGCAAGGAAGGCCAGGAAUGGGUUCAGGUGUGUGCUGGAACUUGGCCUCGGUCUUCAGAUUGGCAGAUGGAGGGGGAGAAGGAGGCACUGAGCUGGGACCAGAAAAGGAAACCAGGCAGAUGAUCUCCACUAAGGUUAUCAUCAAAUUCAUGGUUGUGAAAGUCUGGUGAGUCU
rnacentral:lncRNA from 10 species